rnacentral:rRNA from 1 species
GCAACAACCAGCCCAACCACCAACUCAAAUACACCAAACAAAAACACUAAUUAACAAAAACUAAAACAUUACCCCACUCCUAGUAUAGGCGAUAGAAAAGUAAACUGGCGCUAUAAAAACAGUACCGCGAGGGAAACAUGAAAAAUAUGAAACAUUCUACAAGCAAAAUAAAGCAAAGCUUAACCCUUGUACCUUUUGCAUUAUGAUUUAGCCAGAACAAUAAAAGCAAAGAGAACUAAAGUUUUCUCCCCCGAAACUAGAUGAGCUACCUAAUGGCGGCCCAUCACCAGGCCAUUUAAAGCCGUCUCUGUGGCAAAAGAGUGGUAAGACCAUUAAGUAGAGGUGAAAAGCCUAACGAAUCUAGUGAUAGCUGGUUGCUCAAUAAAAGAAUAAUAGUUCUACCUUAAAUUACCUCCAACAUACAACCCAAAAGCAAAAUGAAAGAUUUAAGAGUUACUCAACUGGGGAACAGCCCGCUUGAGACAGGAUACAGCCUUAAAUGUUGGGUUCCAACAAAUCAAACCAAUCAGUAGGCCCCAAAGCAGCCACCAAUCAAAAGAAAGCGUUAAAGCUCACUAUAUCAAGAUAUUAAACCUAUUCCAACCCCCCCAUACCACUGAGCCAUUCUACCACCAUAGAAGAACCAAUGCUAAAAUUAGUAACACGAACCAAGUUCUCCAAGCACAAGCUUAAAUUAGUUCAGACAAUCUACUAAUUAUUAACGACCCAUUGUAUUAACCAAACGCACAAGACAUAUAAUACAAAACCAAACCGUUAACCCAACACAGGAGUGCACACAAGAAAGAUUAAAAUUUGUAGAAGGAACUAGGCAAACAAAGAGCCCGACUGUUUACCAAAAACACAGCCACUAGCCAAACCAAGUAUUAGAGGUGAUGCCUGCCCAGUGACUCGUUAAACGGCCGCGGUACCCUGACCGUGCGAAGGUAGCAUAAUCACUUGUCUUCUAAAUAAAGACUAGAAUGAAAGGCUAAACGAGGUUCUACCUGUCUCCUACAAGCAAUCAGUGAAAUUGAUCUGCCCGUGCAAAAGCGGGCAUAACCACAUAAGACGAGAAGACCCUGUGGAACUUCAAGAAAUAAUCAGCCAAUCAACCACACCAAACCGCCCUACGGGACGACACAAACCACAACCUCUGAUUACAACUUUCGGUUGGGGCGACCUCGGAGCACAAAAAACCCUCCGAAAAUAGGACACCACUCCACACAAAGAUCAACACACCAAAGUGCAAAUUAAAGCAGAAACGAUCCAAUAAACUUGAUAAACGAACAAAGCUACCCCAGGGAUAACAGCGCAAUCCCCUCCCAGAGCCCAUAUCAACAAGGGGGUUUACGACCUCGAUGUUGGAUCAGGACAUCCUAAUGGUGCAGCAGCUAUUAAGGGUUCGUUUGUUCAACGAUUAACAGUCCUACGUGAUCUGAGUUCAGACCGGAGCAAUCCAGGUCGGUUUCUAUCUAUGAAUGAACAUUUUUCAGUACGAAAGGAACUAAAAUGAACGGCCAAUAAAACCACCACGCCGAACCUUACUCCUAUGAAAACCACUUAACCAAUAAAAAAGGUCUAACACAUUUAACCCAAAAGCAGGGUA